UCCAGGAGAGGAUCAGCCAUCAUUCUGUGGGCGUCGGACGUCGUUGCAGGUCUUAAUUAAUGCAUGGAGGGGUUUCAUGGGAGAAGGCUGCAGCAGCGGAGGUUUUUGCCAGUGAAAACAAAGGAAGGUAAGAUAUGGUUUGGACAAAUGGAUGGUGCAUUCUUAUUGGGUGAUGCAGGAAACUAAACCAAAUUGUCUGUUCUUAAAUUUUUCCAUGCCAUAUGGCAGUACACUGUAUAUGUCUGUGUAGUUUCUCAUUCAUCCAGGUCAUGGUUAUCCAAAGUUGUUUAAAUCAAUCCAAUUGGACUUUAAAAAGGUUCCUUGAAGACGUUUCACCUCUCAUCCAAGAGGCUUCUUCAGUUCUGGUGGUGGUUGAUGUUGCAAAGGGAAAACUUUCUUGGUUUUAUAAGCUGGAAAGAGGGAGUGCACUAAAAUCAAUGGAACAGUUUUCCUUGGAGUGUUCCUGCUGUAAAUCUAAGGUGUAAAGGGGAUGGAUUUACUGCCGCCCUGCCUGGUGAUCCAGGGCUGCUGUCAUAAUUUGUUCAUCUGAAAGGUUUUAUUCAGAGCUGACGAAACAAUUCCUGGAUCUGUAACCUAUUCCUGUUAAAUUUAUACCCCAUGAUCUAAAACUCAUAUUUCUGUUUCCUUCAACUUCAUAUCCAGAAAUCUUUUAUGCCUUUUGUUGGGCAGGGCCUUUUUCCCUUUUGGAUUUUAUUUUUCCAUUUUUUUCCCUCUUUAACCUCAUAGCAGCUGUGCAACACUGGAGCACUUCCUGUAAAUCAUGUUCAGUGUAUUCACAAGGAAAAAGUAAACAUCUGAGAAAGUGUGUGUGUGCGUGUGUGUGUGUGUAAGACAUUCAUUGCUUGUGUUACCACCCGGCUGCUUACUGCUUGUUUGUCAGGGUCUGAAUACAGACACGUGGGUCGAUUUCAACCUUAGACACAGAGUCGACCCUCAGUAAACCUCGGCCAGCCGGGUCAAGACGUCACAUGACCCUGACAACCUUAAUCAGUCAGCAGUGUAGCAGGCAGCCCAGCCCUCACCCCCAGCACCACCUCCAUCCCGUCUUUCAAAGGGCCACCCACUUAAAAAUAUCAGUCACAUGUUUCCCAUCACUACCACCUUUCCCAAAGGAGUCAAAAAAGUGUGUGUUUAUGUGAGCAUAUAUACAGACAAGUGACAAAUUACAGAAAAAAAUUACGCAAAAUUUCCUAGUAAGGUGUUGGGACACCACAUGCUGCCACUGCAGUGCUAAUUAGCAUUGAUUCUUCAAGUCUGUUUUACUCUACUGGAGGAAUGAACACCACUUGUCUGAAAGGAAAACCUUUCUCUGGUGUUAUAAUGGUGGUAAUAUAGAAUGCCAUCUAAGACAUUAUCCAAACUUAUCCAUUAGUGUUCAACUUGGUGCUUUCUGUUCUGCUAAUUUUUCUUCUUCCCUUCCUCACUCCUCUCUCCUCCGACCCAGAAUCUGACUGAAUUCUGCUGUCUUUGUUCAGAGAUCAGGAUGUCCUUAUCCCUUAAAUCCAUGUCAGAUGAGACGAACAGCGAGAAGAGAUGAAGCUCCUAGAGUGAGCCAACAACAGGUGUAUCCUGUGCUGAAGGUUUUGGGCCAAAUGGCUUUUAGAAAGUGAUUCUCAGUGUUCAUCUGAGCCUCUGGAAGAGCAGAAGUCUGAAAGCAACAUUACAGAAGUACAACUAAACAAAUACAGAACGGUGUCUGUGAUUUUGCAGAAGCAGGAAUAAUAUCACCAACCAAGGCUGCAAUGUUGUUCAUGUUUAUUCACAAAAUGACGUUAUGUGUGUAGAAUUUGAAUCACAGUUAAUAAUGAAUAACUAUUGCAACCUUGUUUCAACAAAGUUGCAACAGCAUUUUGCUGUAACAAGCAUUUUACAGUGUCGGUUGUAAAACGGUUUACGUAGCCAAUGAAAAAUAUCCCUUUGCUUUAAAACCACCAGUUUAUGAUCAGUUGUUGAAACUCUGGCAACAUGGAAAUACUCAAUUAAUCAAAUGUAGCUGAAUUAGUUUCAAUCGUACUCCAUAAAUGUGAGAGUUUAGACUUGCUCUGUGCAAAUAUACUCUAUGUUUGAGCAUUUACAUAUCGAUCAGCCAAAUGAUUUUUCAUUUUUUACUGCUCUGUCACUCAUCAUACAUUUAAUCAAUAUUGUUAUCUAGUCUCACAUAACUAUUUGAUUCUCUAGCACUAACACAGUGCAGUGUAGAAUAGUCUGACUGCACCUCACUAUGCUUCUGCUUUUCUCUUUAAACAGUUGUCUUGAGCUGGGUUAUAGCAGUGUUCAUUCCAAAUCGUGAGGAGGGAAUUGUUUUGGUGGAACUUCUGCAUGCAGGGAGGUGAGCACUGUCAUUUAAAUCAUAAAACAAAACAUAACCAAACUUAUAUCAGGGCCGAUUUAUUCGUUUUCAGCAUGUAGAUUACUGUCCAGAGCUUGUUGUUGUUUCCAAUGGUGAAGGGGAUUUUGAAAACACUAAUGCAUAGAUAAUGAAACAGGGGGUGAAAGCUAUGUGAAAUCCAGCCAGUGGAAGGAUAGUCAGACAAGUUCUUAUCUAACUAGCGACAAGAAAAUAAAUAAACGUAUUUCUUAUAGUCCAAGAUGAGCUUCCAAAGCAAGUUCAGUACUUGGCAUCAAUUCAGCAAGUUUCUUAAAGUGAGUUGGAAGACUGGAGAGGACUCAUCCACAAGAUAUUGUUUUGAUGAAGGCUAUGAAGAGCACUGUGUAACAUGUGGCUCCAGAAUCUGCUUUAUGUAAUAAUUUGGGCUGAGAUAUUAAUUAAACUAUGAAGUCACUCUGUCAGCAUCUGUGUUUCCCCACUCGUAGUUUAGUGACUGAUGCUGGAAGUCGUUUAAUAUAUGUCGAUGUAAACGUGUGACUGCAGAGCCUGCAGGAGUCGGGACAGAAAUAAAGGUAAGGUUUUAUUAGUUGCUGUCAGUCCUGUCACGCCUCAUCUGUAAAGAUGUUAUUUUACUGCAGUGGGACUGUAACACUCUCUCCUUCCCACACAGUGAAGGUCACAGGUCUUUGUUGCUCUUAAACACACACCGAAGACACUUCCCUCACCAGCUUCAUCACUCAAUUAUUAUUAUUUUUGCUUGGUUACUUACACUUACUCUUCAAAUAUCAGCAGCCUGACAAAAGAACUCAUAACACUGAGGCAGACAAAAACUGUUAUUUCAAGCCACACCUUUUAUUAAAGAUCUACCUCUGCAAUGAGCUGAAGACAAUCACAAGUUCAAAUGGUCACAAGUUUCCCUUUUGUAAAAUCUUAUUUCUUCUCAUGAGAGGCGCAGCUCUGAGAACACAAGGCAAAGCAAUAGGCUGAAUGAUUCAUUCAUAUAAACUAAUCAAAAUCUGUUGUUUGUUUGUUGCCUAAAGCUGUAAAAAGGGUUCAAUCUGUCUGGACAGAUGUGAGCUGAAUUAUAGUUUGUUGUAAAUCUGCUUCCUUCUCAUGAGAGGUCAGCUGUGAAAACAAGGUUUACUUCAUGCAAAUUAAUGGACAGCAUGAUUUCAGAUGGAAUCAGGUGUUAAAAGGUGCAUUUAUACAUCCUGAUGUCCAUAUUAUGUCCUGCUGGAGCUCAGUCCUGUUUCCUCCAACAUCACAGCAUCACCACCUCAUAAAUCCUACAACUUUGAAAACUGCUUUCAGACUCUGUUUCAUACUGAAUAGACAGAUGUGAAAUGUUGCACUAUUUAGUAAGCAUCUGUAGCAUCUGACAGCAGCCAGAUCCAUACUGCAGAGGGGCGUAUCGUAAAUUACACAACUGGCACAGCAGCAUAAAUGUCUAUAGGAUAACCUCUGACAAUAAAGUAGUUAAACAUGAAGAGUUCAAGCUACACACUACACACUAAUCUCUCUCUGUGUGUGUGAUUUUAUAUAUGUAAUGAUUUUUCUUUGAUUACACCCACUAUUCACCAGGUUGUCAUUGAUAUGUAAAGCAUUAAAGGCCUCUUUAAAUGUUUUGACUCAGGUCUGCUACAGGAGUUCAUUUGUCUGUUUAUUCAGACCAGCUGGAAGAGAAUCAGAGAGGAGAGGAAAUUCCUGGGAGUUCAUGUGUUCCAUUAAAAUUAAUAAAUUAUCUUCAGAUUAAAUGUUUGGAUCUGUCUCUUUAGCCUUCUCUUCUUCAUCUCCCUUUUCAAGUUAACUAAAGCAAGAUUAAUACUAAGUACUGCAGUCUCCUGUGCUCUAUGAUGCAGCAACAGAAAACAAACAUUUCUCUAUUUCCUCCUUUUUCAACUCUGAGCUUGCACAUAUUCGACACUCGGUUCUUCAUACUAAAACUGAGAAUCAAUUCAGAUUAGUUUCUUGCCAAGUCAGCAUGCUUUCUUAAUUAAGCGCACAUUUAAGUGGUUUGUUUCCUCACUGAAAACAAAUGGCAGCGUCGCUUCACCGAACCUCUCAAAAAGCAUUUGUUGUGGUGGAAUCGUGAUCCUCAGUCUCACAGGAACCCCACUGAACAUUACUGAUGUUGCAGAAAAUGUGUCUGCAAAUGGUGAUUUUCUUUGUAUUGGUUGAGUUGAAUCUAAAGCUUUUCUAAACGAGAAGUUAUGUGGCUAAGAGAAGUGCACAUAUUUCUGUCCCCUAACCUUGAUCCUAAACAUUACAAAUAUCGGCCAUAGAAUAAAGUUUUAGUGUGUAAAUGUUCAAACUUGUAAUACUAUUAUUGGUGUAAAUGGAGUGAAUGAAGUAUUAGCAGCACCUUUCAAUGUGCAACAGAAUUUACCAUCACCUCAAACUACGAACUUCAAAAUGAUGAUGUAGUCGAAUGAACACUACCACUGUAUGACACUGCAUUAUUUUUAGAUGGAUGUACCUCACACAGAUGUACACACAAGAUAUACGCUCAUAAAUUUCAUGGUUUGAUGUUGAAGAUGUUUCUUUACGAUUUAGUAAAGAAAGACAAAAAAAAAGCACAAAGGCUGUGAAGUGCAUUUAGAAUUUCCUCUACGUCAUACUGUAGAUGUGUAUGUACAUACUCCGAAGAAAACAUACUGACUUCUCCAACACAUCUGGACAAGCAAAUAUUUGAAACUGUGCCUAAAAAGUGAUUAAAGAAAUGACACAUAAUUGGACAUUUUCAAGCCAAACCCCCCCCCAAAAAACUUCAUAACCUGAUCUGCAGGUAACUGCAACUGUUGGUGACAAAGUGCAUCUACAAUCAGAAGGAGAUGGCGCAAAUUUUAACAGCAUUGAAGGCGUGUCAAGAAAACAUGAACAAAGAACUGUAGUGACUUGCAUUAUCAUACACUCAAAAGGCAGCCUUUUGGAAUAAUGUGCUGUGGACUGAUAAAUCCAAGAAAGAGCUGUGUGUUCACAAUGACAGCAGAGAUGUUUCAUGCAGACCAAAGGCCGGUCCUUAGAGAAGAACCUCUGACAAACUGUGAAGCAUUGAUGUGGAAAUGUAAGAGUUUCCUUCACUGCCUCAGGGACUGGGCUGCUUGCAGUCACUGAAUUCUGGAUCAUACCAAGAAGUGCUUGAAGAUAAUGUGAGGACAUCUGAACCUUUCAGCAUGCAGGAUAAUUAUACACAAACAAAUCCAAAAAGGAAUAACUCAGAAAGAAGAAAUGAAGUGUUGUCAAAAUCCCCAAAGUGCUAGCUCAUAUAUUUCAGCAAGAUGAUGUCAGGGACUGGUGGACAGUUACGCAAGAUGUCUACAAGCAGCUUUGCUGCUAAAUGGUGUACUGCCUUUUUUCUGAAAAAAUCUGCCAAUAGAACAAGUGAAAAAUGGCUUGGUAAGAUUUCUUGAAAUAAGAUAAGAUAUUUAGAAUAUUGAGAUCUUAAAAUUAGCUGGGAAAACUUAUUUUAAACUAUAUUUUUACCAGGAUUGUCAAGCUUAGGUGUCUUAAAAUAAGCCAGACAUGCAAAAAAAAAAAAAAAAAAAAAAAAGAAGAAGCAGUUUUUCACUCAAAAAUAGAUUUUUGCUUACAUAUAACUUCCUAAUUUGAGAUGUAUUAAACUUAUUUUGAGUUUUCUUGUAAAAUUCAACUCAAAACAAGAUAAUUUCAAGAUUGUUUGACUUAACAAGAUAUUUAAGAUGCAUUGUCUUAAAGCAAGUCCUUCCAUCUGCUGAAAUGUCUCUUGUUAAGUAAAUUUAUCUUAAAUUGAGUGGGAUGAGACAUUUUGACUAAAAAUAAGACAAAUAGACUUGGUAGGAUUUGGAGUUUUUGCAGUGCAACAGUUUCCACACAGGAGACUGUGGUUCACUAAACAUCUAGUUUAUUACACAGCAAACAGAUCUUACAUUAACUCAAGAGGCUGUAUUUUAAGACUAGCGAAUAUCUACACUUUUAUGUAACAUGUAUUGCACAAAGCGAACCAAACUCUUUUCUAGAACCGUUUCCUGCUGUAACUAACAGCUGAGAGGUCAAGGCUGCACCACCUGCAGGGUCAGUAUUUCUGGGUAGUUUUAAAAAAGGAUCAAAGACGAGGAGGGUUUCUGUGUUGCUCCGAAUGAUCAGGAAAAAACAACAUUCCACUAUUUUUAUCUUUGAAAACAAAGUGGAGAGGCAGCACAGGCCGGAUGACAGCACCGUUUACUUGGAAAAAUGCUAAAAGAAACAUCAAUCUGACAAACCUGUCAGCUCUCAAACUCCCUGACCAUCAUCUGAUUCCAUCAGCUACUCUGCUGGAAAAACAAUAAACCUCCCCCAAAUUAGAUUGAACACGGUAAAUUGGCAACAUUACAGCAGUGGCCCCUAAAAUUAGGACAAUUUUGGAGAAACGGUUAGAGCUAAAAUUACUGAAGGACAACAAUGAACUUGCCAUUUGUGUCUCAACAGUUUUAUUUUGAUUUAUGGGCUUUGUGCCACUCAGGACCUUGGAGAUGAAGAGAUUUCUCAUGUUUCACAGGAUGGAAUAAAGAUCAUUAAAGACCGGUGUCAAGGAAAGUUUCUCUUGACAAGAAAUACAAACUGCUUGUGGACAAAAUUAGUCUUGAAUAAAUAGUUUGGCAUUUAUGCUCUGAAGUUGGGUUUUGUUCCCACCAGACAGAGCCAGGUAGCUGUUAAACACUGUUUUAAGAUAAACUGAGCCAAACUAAGCUGCUGACUAUAGCUUCAUAUUUAACAGACAGACAUUGGAUUGGAUUUUCUCAUCAUCAAAAAAGCUACAGUAUACAUUUUUAUUUUUAAAAAAAUUAGGUCAUGGACAUUUCUAUAGAGCCAUAUUUUUUAAUGCAAAUGUAAACAUGCCAGUGUUAUUCCCAAUACACACAAAACAGACUCCUCACAACAGCUUUGACUUAUUAGUGUUUCUGAAGAAGAGACACACAAUGAGAAGAAGAUGGGAGAAAGGAACAGUGAUGACAAUUUUUUGUUUCAUCUUCUAUAUCCUGCCAUCUUUUAUCUGCACAUCGAUUGGUUAAAGAUGGGAUCAUGAUGAAAGAUGAAGCAAGACAGGAAAUAAAGAACUUUAUUAAUGUUUGUGAAAGUUUUUAUGAAGAAGCGAAGAAAGAUAAAGAUUUAAAUAAGUACUGUAUGUAAUCAGAGACAGGAAAAUGGAAAGAGGGAUGAGAAACACAAAUCAGACAUGUUGUUGGCCCGUCCUGUGCUGCGAGAUGAAGAUGAUGAUGUAAAUAUCAUGUUGUCUAAAGCUCAACACUGUCUUUAAUUAACACUCGGUAACUUAGAAGAACAAAUUAAAUACAUGCUCUUAGAAAAAAAAUGCUAAUUUCAUAAAAUUCCAACAAACAAAUCUUUAAGUAUCCAGACCCUUUGCUGUGUGGUCUGGUGCAUCCUGUUGUGUUGGACACAUUUGGAAGCAAUCAGGUUCUAGAUGUGUUUAGAAUUUGGUUGAAGUCCACCUGUGUCACACAGUGCAUGUCAAGAGGAAAACAUACAGUCUAUGGAAGAAAACUAAGCCAUGAAAUCCAGGAACUCUCUGUAGACUCCCACAAUAAAACUGUAGUGAAGUAUACAGUGGAUCAGGGCAAGGGAAUGAAGCCAUUUUUAAAGCUUUGAUUGUUCCAGGAGAUCAGCAGCCUCAGUAAUUUGCUUUAAUGCUAUAUUUACAGGAUCAAAAUAGAACAUCUGAGUUUAGAUCAAAUCUGUACUGUUGCUACUGUUGUUGCUCAUUACUGAGUGCUGUCCACUGUCAUUCCAUGGAAGCUGUCAAAAUGUAUUUGAGGAAAUGUAGUAACUAGUGAACAUAGAACAAGGUCCACAGAGCUGUAAUUCAGGCAACCAGCUCAAAUGAUUCUGUGCUCUGGAUGAGCUGAUGUUUUAGGCCUCUGUGAUUCUCACCCCACCAUGGCUCUGUGCUGGUAAUAAGGCUGGAUUAGAUCAUGUGAAACAGAGAUACUAUAGAGCCAUAAGUCACAAAUAUGAGCUAAAAAGUGCAACAUUUUUUUCAAAUGACUCCUCCUGGAAUGCUUUGAAGGUCACACAUUGAUAUCAGAGUACGAGUAUCUGAGGUUUUGAUACAAAUAAAAACAGUAUCAUCAUCUGUACAACAGUAGUUUCCUUUGUGCAGUGCAGAUGAAAAAAGCUCCACACACUGACAGUAGAUGAAUGUAAUCUGUCACUAUCUCCUGCUCUGUUUUUUUUUUUUUUUAACUUCUGCACAGAAAUGUGUAAAUAAAUUGCAGCCUCGGGGCAUGACGGUAGGUCAGGUUCCUUUUAUCUUUGCACUGGAAUGAAACAAGUAUGCUUUUUCCCCACAUGCAGUGCUAGAUGGAAAGACCACCAAUGUUGUUUAACUUGGAUUCCUCUCAAUAUGUCAGAAACUGUAGCAAAAUACGCUACAACAUGCACACUGACACAUUCAUGUUUGUUUCUUCAGUAAAAAUCCACUGGAUUUCACUAUGGUUUGUUUCACAAGCUGCACAAGAUUUUCAGAUUUUUGUGUGUUGUUCACUGAAAAAUAUACAGUGACAGGAGAACAAUACAUGCAAAAGGGAGAGAUCCACAUUUGUUGAAAAGAUGUUUUUACUGGUAAAUCUACCUUGGAUGGAACAGUGUGGUGAAACCAGAUGGUGCUGAUUUUUCCUUUUAUUUACCAGACUGUGCACAUUUAUCUAAACAAUUACUUACUCAAAGCUGCAUAAUAAAAACUUUCAUAAACAGCUGAGAAGCAUAUGCUCAACUCAUUUGCUAAAUGGCUUGCACAGCACGGUCACAUUCGUUGCUUGCAGGUACAUAUAAAUAGAAACAUGCAUAUAUCUCUAUAAACAAUGCUAAUGAAAGUGUGUAUUGUAAAUAAUGGAAACACGUGGAGCUAAUGCAUAAAUGUGUGGCCAAACACUUUAUCAUACAAAACUCAGUGAACGUCCUCAAGACUUCUCAUGUUUUGCAUCCAUUCAUUGAUCCCUAACCCUUUACUUUUCACCUUUAUCACUGUUGCCGUUCUUAUUGUCAUUUUCCUUCUUUUUCUUGCACUAAGCUCAAUGUCAGGACAAAUGUUCCAAAGAAUUUGAGUGAACUGGUCUAAAGACUCUAAAUAGUUUAAUUUAAAAUUAGCUAAAGUGCCACAGUUUAGGCUGUGGGCUGUGGCAGUGCUCUCUCCUCCUCCAGCCCUGCUCUCUCUCUUUUCCAGGUGUGUGCCAUUCUGAAGCCGAGGCAGGUGUGGCGCAUCUGCUAAUCAGCAGGUGGAAGUCAGCGAAUCAGUCAUUCCGGCUCUCCUUUUAAAACCAGACUCUUCUCGUCGUGUGAUGCGAGAUUGUCUUUGAGCCUCCAGUUAGUUCUGUGAGCCGAACGUUCCCGUUAGUGAUGGGAGUAUCGAUACCAUGGUCAAUUCUAGAUAUUUUUAGGUGACUUACUCCAGUGGUCUGUGCCGAAACACCCCCCAGCCCGCAGCAUAUUGAACUGGUCCAUAAGUCACGUGACCAGAAGAGCCGCCAGUUGUGUGUGUUUACCCUGUUAGCAACAACACGGCACGGCAUGAACAAGUGAAUUUGAAAAAACGGAGAAAUGCCCAACAAAAAGAAGCGUUGUAUGGACAUAUUUUUCGCCAACUGAUAAAACUUCAGCCAGGUGUGAAGUGUGUCACAAGAGAGUUCAACACAGCAGCAACACGAGCAAUGUGUUCAAACACCUGAAGUGUGUGCAUCCAGAGGCUCAUGCCGAAGCUGAGGAAAGGCAAGAAGACGCAGAGCAGAAUGCGACACCUGCACCCACCAGGCAAACAACUUUGAAAGAAAGUUUUAUUAAAAAAGGCAGAGUCUAUCCAGAUGACUCACAUAGAGCCCAGGAGAUCACCAGGAGCCUUGCUCAGAUGAUUGCAAAAGACUUGCAACCCAUUUCAAUUGUUGAGGAUCCAGGUUUCCGUCAUUUUAUGAAGAUGGUGGAUCCCCAGUACCAGAUCCCAAGUAGGAAUUCACUGGUGACAGGUGUACUUUCAAAACUAUAUGCGCAAGUAUGAGAAACAUUGAAAGACUCCAUACAGUCAGCGAGCAGUCUGGCUUUAACAUGUGAUAUGUGGACUGCAAGAACAACUGAAUCUUAUUUGACUGUAACAGGACACUUUAUUGACAAGGACUGGCAGAUGCAGUCCUGCAAUCUUGCAACAAUCCAUGUAGCUGUACAGCACACAGCAGACAUUUCUGAGCUCCUCGUGAAAAUCACUGAUGACUGGGACAUUACUAGUAAAGUUCAUACUGUUGUGCAGACAGAGGGGCUAAUAUGGUGUCUGCUGUGCGGAAAACUUACUCGAAGCACAUUCCAUGUUUUGCACACACACUCAACCUCAUUGUAAAGGCAGACACAAUUAUUACACUAUUGUUCGGUUCUUCCACCACAGCACCAAAGCAACUGACAAACUGAAAGAGGUACAACGUCAGCUGCAGUUGCCACAGCACACACUAAUGCAAGCAGUGGAUACACAGUGGAAUUCUGUGCUGUACAUGCUGGAGAGACUGUAUGAACAGCAACAAGCCAUCACAACUGCACUUUGUCUACUUGGAAGAAACAGCUUGUGCCUGAAUGGGGAAGAGUGGUCCCACAUUACCCAGGCCAUUGAAGCACUAAGACCUUUUGAAGAGGCCACUAAGGAGGUUUCAGCAGAGCAGUAUGUAACUAUUUCCAAAGUCAUCCCACUGGUCUGUCUUCUUCAACGUUCUGCAGGGCAGAAGGAUAACACUCUGGCUUCACAACUUGCAGCACAAUGCCAGCGGCGCUUUCAAAACAUUGAACACAACCACACUCUUGCAGCAAGCACCUUUUUGGACAUCAGGUUCAAAAACAUUGCCUUCUGUGACAUCGGAAAUGUGGAAAAAAUUAAAUCACAAAUCAUCAGUGAUAUGCAAGGCAUGGCUGCAGUGAGAGAGAGAUGUCCAGCAGUGAAGCCUCAACAUCUGCAUCUGUUACUGCAUCAACAUCAGCAGAGUGUUCAGCUUCCCAGGGAGGAUUGUGGCAGGAGUUUGACACUUGGGUUUUGGCUUCUCAGAGCAAUCGCACAGCAAACACAGAUACAUACAUUGAAAUGCGCAGAUACAUGGAAGAAAAAGUGAUCCCAAGGAAUGAGGACACUUUGCUUUGGUGGAAAAAAAAAUGAGAGCAUUUCCACAACUGAGCAAAGUUAGCAAAGAGAUACCUUGGAACUGUUGCUACAUGUUCCAGCAGAAAGGCUGUUUUCUAAGGCAGGAGAGACAGUUAGCCAGCAGCGCAAUCGCCUCAAACCUGAGAAUGUUAAUAUGUUGCUGUUCAUAAACACCAAUCUGAAGCUGUAAAGACAGUGUGCACUUUUUUUUUUUUUUUUUACAAUUUUAUUUAAUUCAUAUUUAUGUUAUUUAUUAUAUCGUAUUGAUGACAAACAUUUUUGUCAGGAUCAUUUUGUGAAAAUAAUGCUGCUCAGCCAAAAUUCAGAGUAAGUUCAAAUAUGUUUUGUUUUAUUUAAUUCUUCUUUAUUUUAAUUAUUUGUUUAACUUUUGUAUUUUGAACCGUGCACAUUAAAGUUGUUACAUGGCCAGUAUUUGACGUUAUUUGUUUUUAGGAGAGCUAAUAAUAUGAUUGAGAAAAAAAAUUCACCAAUAAGAAAUUACCAGUAAAAGUGUGGUAUCGCCCAUCACUAGUUCCUGUGCCACUUACCUGGUUCCUUCAGUAAUUCUGUUUUCUUGUGUUUAGAGCUGACUUCUGCCUGCUUGUGGUUUCCUGAUCCUCCUGGUUGCAUUGUCGGAUACCUGGUUCUUUGCUUCGUGUCUGUUACCACAGUUGGUUAUCUAAGUCGGGUUGUGGAGUUUAGUCUGGGCUUUCUGUACAGAAUUACUGUUGACUAGGUUUUUGGGGUUUUUUGCCCCCCCGUCAAGUAGUUUUCCUGCCCUGGUUGUACCUUAAGCAGGUUAACAGUAUUUGUUUUUCUAAUUCUUGUAGUUAGGCUUCCUAGCUCUACUCCGCCUUGAGCAGUUUAGGUAGUACUUCCGUUUCUGGAAUCAUUUCAGGUUCUAAAUUGUAGUCCUUGUAGUAUUUUUUUGUAAAUAAAACUUUGUUAAAUUGUUCAAUCAUCUGCAUUUCUCAUUUCCUGCUUCUGAGCCUCUGUGCCCGCUGUAAUAUAAAGGGGAACAAAGUCUGUUCAAAUAUUUCCGAUUCGAGCCUUUAAUUUGCUGAAAUGUCUUAACAUUCUAUACUUUUGUAUAACCCCAUCAUAUGACAGCUGCAGGCCCACUAUCAUAAACUAAUUUAAUGACAUUAAACAAAAGGUCAAAAAUGUAAAAUCAACAAGGGUCUUCUCUCAUAAGACCAGUCAUCGUGAACCAGAAACAAUCUGUGUAUUCAUCCAGUAAAGCUGGACAUCAAAUAUCUUGUAAACUCAAUUGGAGGCAAACAUAUGACACACAUUAUGAAGUAUCAUUGUGUAGCCAUAAGUUGCUGCACACAACAGGUCAGCCUGAUAUUGUGAUAUUUUCCUACACCUAAUCAGACAGCAAUGCUCCCAGGCAGGAAUCAAACCCUGGACUCCUGGGUAAAAGUUGAGUCACACACCUAUGACUCAAUCCUCCCCUCUGACCUUCAAGUGGACUUUCUUUCAAACUGGAAGAUUGGAAGGUGCACAAACAAAAGGUACUUGAGAAGAUGGUCAAGAAACAGAACAUCCAGGGCCACCAUGUACAGACGUGUCCAGGAAAUGGGAUACAAGUGUCAAAUUCCUAUUGUCAAACCACUCCUGAACACCCAACAACAUCAGAAGUGUCUUACCUGGGCUAAGCAGAGAAAGAACUGGACCAUUGCUAAGUGGUUCAAAGUCCUUUUAUUUGGUGAAAGUAAAUUUUGCAUUUUAUUUGGAAAUCAAGAUCUCAGAGUCUGGAGGAAGAGUAAAGAGCUACAGCAUCGAAGUUGCUUGAAGUCCAGAUGUGGUUUUCACAGUCAGUGAUGAUUUGGGUGCCAUGUCUUCUCCUGGUGUUGGUCCACUAUAUAUAACCAAGUCCAAAAUCAAUGCAGCGAGUUGCCAGCAGAUUUUGGAGCACCACAUGGUUCCAUCUGCUGAAGAACUUUUCGGAGAUGCAGAUUUUGUCUUCCAGCAGGACCUGGCAUCUCCACACACUGCCAAAACCACUCAGAAAGUAGUUCACGGACCAUGGCAUUACAGUGCUAGGUUGACCAGCCAACUCACCAGAAUCCCAUAGGAAAAUCUAUGGUGUGUUGUCAGGAGAUGAAUGAGAUGAACCAGACUCAGAAAUAAAGAACAGCUGAAGGUGGCUAUCAAGGCAACCUGGACAUUCAUUACCCCCCGGCAGUGCUACCGGCUGACUGCCACCAUGACACACUGCAUUGCUGCAGUAAUUCCAGCAAAGGGAGUCCCGAUAAAGUAUGAACAGAGCAUACAUGAACAUGAUUUUCAGAGUUUGGAUAUUUCUGCAUAACAAAUCUUUUUUUUAAUUGAUAUUUGUCAAUUUGAAAUAUUCUAACAUUUUCAAAUUGAUUUUAGGGGAGGUUUAUGAGUUGUAAGCUGUCAGCAUUAAAGCUACAACAAAUAAAGGCUUGAAAUAUUUCAGUUAAUGUGUAAUGAGCCUAAAUUAUAUAUAAAAUUUUCACUUUAAAUAUUUAACUUUUCCACCACAUUCCAAUUAAAUGAGUAGCCUGUUUAUGUCCGUGUUUUCAGUCUUUAGACAAAAUUAUUCUACCCUUCUCCUGGCUGUAGCUUUUGAAGAAAAGGGUAUGAGAGUCAUUUCUCAUCUAAUGUUUAAUCUUCAAAAAACACAGAUAACUAUAGAGACAAUUAACUUUCAUAACCAUCUGAAUUGUUUGCAGAACUAUCCUUUUUGGGUCCUUCUUUGCCUAAAAAGGCAAGCAGAGCCUUUUGACAAUACGACCGAAACUGAUCAUACCUACAACGAACACAGAACACAAGCACUGGUGAGUCUUCAUAGCUUCAAUCUCUGCAUUUUGACCUUUUUCUCCUCUUUUUUUCAACCUUUUCACAUAUUAUUCUUUCCUCUGUUGUCUUUGUCACCGUCUCCCCAUUUAUCUCCCCAAUCUUCUUAAGUAAUCUCUGUCAACAAACCUGGUAUAUUUUUCUGACUCAGCUCCAUCUCUGCUCGGCUCUCUUUUGCUCUCUGUGUCCUGAGGUUGUUGAUGCUGCCUGGUAAUGGCUUGUCCAGACUGAGCAUUACUCUCAAUGUUCUGUGAAACCACUGGCCAAAGACAACAACGGGCUCUACAAGCUUCCCAAAUAAUGACUUUGAUCACUGCUAUGGCCAGUCCUAAUGGUUGCUAAAUACUCUGGUGUGGAAAAUUUUUGGCAUCAAACCGACACUUUGACCGACGCAGGAGCAGACAACCCGAUUCAUUCUGGAUGUGUUUGUGGUGCAGUGACCGUGUACUGGCCUUAUUUUUGUAAGUACCUCUUCUAGCACCGAAGUACUUCAUACAGUUAGAUGAAUUCAUACUUGGAAGCUCCCCAGUUCAACCACAGUCUUGGCCACUGAAACACCUUCUUGGAGAAACUGGGGGUUCAGAGGAACAUUCCACCACCGAACACUCUUGAAGAACGUAUAUCAGUGAUUCUAACAGCUACUUAGUAAAACUUUCCCUUUCUCACACCCACUUUCCAACAUGCCAUAUCUGUUUCCACUUUAAAGUUGUGAUUUCAUCUAUCUUCCAGAAAACCUUUGAACACAUUGGUGUGGAAACGCGUUGAAUUUUGCUGUUAAUUGCCAGUAAAUGGAAAGAGCAGUGACAGCUGCACUCAAACCAAAUGUUUGUGGUUAAAUUGUACUCUGAGCAUUCUGUGCUUUAAAAAAAAACUGCUGUACAAGUGAAACAUUCACUCUAAGUGAGAGUGCUUGUCAGAGUUACAAUUUGUAAAAGCACAAAUAUUGUCCAAUUCAGCCAACAGAAUAACGUUGGAGCAGAGUGGGUGAAAUGGGUUUCAAAUGUAAGAGCCUAUAAUCGCUCUGAAUGUUGGCCUUGGACAACUGAAGCUUGAUGGAAGAAGUGAUGUUUGCUUCAGAAAUCUCGACAUUUCUAAUGUGUGUGAUGUGAUUUGAGGCACAUGGAGGAAAAAAUAUAUAUUUUCUAGCAGAAUAUAAAGUGGUCAGUUGGUAAAGAUGCCUUUUAAAACCGAACUAGCCUACUGCACAUUGUCAGUGCGUCAGCGUUGCAACAGAAAGCAUCCAGUCCACAGAACUGACCCGUGAAAUACACGAGCAUAUGAUUUAAUCCAUGUGAUUGCUAGAUCAUAUCAAAUAGCCUACUGGUAUUCUGAAUAACCAAUAGACUACUGCAUUACUGAAAUAUACAAUAGCUGUAGUCCUACUAGUUGUCAGAGUUAGAAUAGCUGCCUACCCUGUUGAUGGAAAUGGUAAGAUUGAAUAAAACCAAAAAAAAAAAAAAAAAUGAAAUGAAAGAUGUGAAAAUGUUCCGUGGAGCUGAGGGAAACUGCAGAACGGGUGAUAAUUCUUGAUGGAUUUGUCACUAAAAAAAAUCCUGUGUACACAAAUAGAAUUAUUUUAUUAAUCAUUGAUAUAUAAAUAUGAAUCAGUGCUGCUCUAAGUGUUCCACCCAGUGACAACCUGGUGGUGCAGUAUUCUGUAAGUAACAAGCCCUUCAAUUUUAUUUGUCUACUUUACUUCUGAGCUGAAAACUGUUAAUCAGAAGUAUGUAUUUGUUGGAUGAGAAGAGUAUCAGAGACAUGUGGUGGUCAGGUUUGAAUAGAACACAGUGUGAAAUGGUUAAGCAACUCUCAGCUAGAGGUGGACAUCUUGAGCCAGAACUGGACAUAUGUGAGUAGUUAAAUUGUUUCUGGCAGCUCUUUGAGUGCAGUGUCUGAAAACAAAACAGCAGAGCAGCGAAUGAAAGACUUCAUAAAAACAUGCUGAGUAAGUCCAAGAAGCACUGGGUUGUAAAAGAUGUGAAAUGAAAAGGGGAUUGAAUGGCUGAAGUGCAAACUGAGAAGUGAGAGAUUCUUUUUUUAAAUUAUUUACCCUGGAAUUUGACUGCUUCUACAGGGAUUAUCUGCUUUAAUAACAUCAGCAAAGCAGGGAGGUGAUGGUGACGCUUUCUCUACAUAAUACCCCCUUUUUCUCCUCUCCCGUUCGUCUCUCUUGAGUCCUGCUCCAAAAGGCUACACCCAGUGAGUCUGUCUUAUCCUCCACUCUCAACCAUCAUUCCUCUAACAUUCAGCACAUUUUCACCCCAAAUCCAACCUCUGCAUCUAUAAACCCUUCAAACGCAGUCAUCACGGUUUUCAGUCAUUCUCAGUCACUGGUGAUGGUUUAUUCAGUAGUGAAGUUGCAGGACUUUCUAUUCAGUGCUGCCAGAGUGAAAUAUUGCACAGCUAGCUGUUUAUCAGGCCACUGAGCCAUCUCCUGCUGACAAAGAUGGUGAGAAUCACCAACCCAACCUCCAUGAGAAAACUCAGCAGUCAAGAAUUAAGGCUAACAGGGGAGGCAACUUGUUAUUCCCACUCUCCCAUUUCACCAAUAAUCCCUACCAUAGCAUUCCCAUUUCACAGCACACUAUUUUCUCUUUAUUGACCUGGGAAAGUUUGCAGGGGCGUUACGCAAAGAUUCAGUAGUCUCCACAAAGGAGCAAGCUAUGUAAAAGCUGGAACAAAGUCCCAUAAUGUGCAGUGGGGGUCGUCAUUGUGUGUUUUACUCUUCUCAGCAGCAACAUAUAGGUCCAAUAUUUAAAUCGGGGUAAAAUGGAAUAGUACCACAUCUAUUUGGUUAUCUAUCACAUUAUGGGGAAUCAUCUCACACAUGAAGACAUGCUUUUCCCUACAAAGUUAUCUUUUUAUUUUAAAGCUAAAGGUUGAUUUUGACAUUUUGGAUGAUACCUCAGAAUCCUUUAUUUCAUACAACAUGGCUAAAUGCUGCUGAAUAGAAUGACAAAUGUUAGCAGCUUGUCUAUGACACAACACAAACACAAUGUCUUGCAUAACAGUCAAAUGCACAUACUUUUUUGCUGCAUUAUGCAAAGGACACACUCAUUAAAGUGCUUGUGCUAAAUGUGCCCCAACCAGCCGCAACAGUGAAUGACACUGAUUACCUUGUUACACUGCAAUGCUCUGCUUGGAAACUUGGCAUUCAUGUGGAUGAUACUUUGACUUGUACCACCUAUAUUGUUGCAGACCACGUACCCAGUGAUGCAUCCUGUCACACCACAAAAACUGUCUGCUACAGCGAAAGGAACAUGACAAAAACCCAAAGAUGCUGACUUGCUCAAGUUGCACCAGAACAAACCUAAUCCAUGGAGGCUCCACAAACCACAGGACCCAAAGGAUCUGCUGCUAGACACCACAGAAAAUUCUGAGAUGUGCCAUGUCCAUCUCCAGGCAGGUGGUUUUAAUGUUGUGGCUGGUAGGUGUAAAUGGCACUAGUGUAGGCCUCCAGGGAAUGAAUGUAAGACGGAACAACAAGUAUAGCAGUACAUCCCUUAUAAUAACACUUGAACUCAUAUUUGUUUGUAUUAAAUAUUGUUUGGGUUGGUACAGUGUCGCCUCACAGCUCGAAUUCACCAUCCUCCUUAGUUUGCAUCCCAGCCUGGGAUCUUUCUGCAUGGAGUUUGCAUGUUCUCCCUGUGCAUUAUGGGUUCUCACCGGGUUCUCCAGCUUCCUCCCACAGACCAAAGACUUGCUGACUUUAACUGAUAAUUCUAAAUUGUCUGUCCAGGAUGUCCCCUGACUUCACCCUCAGUCAGCUGGGAUAGACUCCAGCCCCCCAUGACCCUACAGAGGAUAAAGUUGUGUGUAGACGAUGGUUUGGAUGAAAAUGUUGUUUGGAAUUCUACUAUAGUUUGAUACAUUAGGGCUCAAUGUCUCUUCAGAAAACAGAUGAAAAACAUGAUAAACGAUUCCUACAAAGUGCAAUAACCCAUCACAGAAAUUUUCACAAAUGAUCAUGCUUUAUUUCACCCUAGAGUCAUGACUGUUAAGCACACCACACCCCUGCAUGAUCACUCAGCUAACAAAACAGUUACUUUUCCAUCUACAUAUUCACAUCUUUCCUUUACAGUAAUUUGAGUUGGAAAUCAACCAGCAAUCUUGCAGGAUUUCGGGUAUGGAACUUUGAAUACACUGCUAAAAGCCAUCAUGGCCUUUUUCUUCCUUGCAGACCUUUCUCAUGAAAUGCUAUAUUUCUAUGUCUUCUUUUAGUCUUUUCUGGAAUAAAGCACCAAGUCAAAGUUGUGCUCCUGAUCGUGUGCGGUUUGUUUUCCAAUUUACUCCCAUCUGAUGAGGUCAUCACUGUGCGUCAGGUUGGCGGUGCGCUGGGUGCCGUCCCGCAGCUGUGCAGCAUCAGGCUGGAAAUCCCCUCAUGAAAGCUGAUUCCUGCCUGCUGAGUUGCCUUGGUUCCUUCGUCUGCUGGUUUUCCGCCCAACCACGGAUUCUGCCUUCUUCUCCGGAGGAUCUCCACCUGACGCCAGCUUAACCUGGGAACAUCAACGUACACCUGGAAAGAGGACUUUCUCUGGAAACAUCUGCCACGACCGGGUUCUACUGACACCAACUUACCAAGCACAUGGUGAACACCAGGAGGGAGAGUUCUGGAUGAAGCCAAACCAAAAGGACUGUUCUCAGCUCAUCAGCUAAGUCUCCAAGCCCUAGUAUCACCAGACUCUUUGUAUUGUUAAUACGUCAAAUUAAAUAAUCAGCGUUCCGUAUUUAACUUAAUGUAUUUUAUGCUCUGCAUAGGAUAGCUUUAGUCUGGGGUUUCAGUUCAUAAUUACUGGUAGUCUAGGCUGGGUUAGUUUGGUAUUUUCAGUUGUUUCUUGGUGUUUCCAUACGUGGGUUAACCUUAGUUUCAGUCUCCAUGUUCAUGUAGUUAUUCCUCCGUACCUCUAGAUGGGUUUUGUUUUUGAGUUCUAGUAGUAGUUUAGUUCUUCUUUGUCUAAGAUUCUAGUUCCGGUUCCUGUAUAGAGUUUCUUGUUGUGAAUAAAAGCAUUUUUAAAACGUUCACGCUGGAGUUAUUUCAUUUCCUGCUCCUGAGCCUUUUGAACCUGCCGUAACGCUCUUUCACUCAUGCAACGUUGUUAAAAUUAGGCACAUCCUGUCACUAAUGCUGAAGAACUAGUCCAAAGAAAGAGCUAUUCUCCGCUCCACUGUUGGAUUUUCUUAUUACCAGGAUAUCCCAACAACUCCACGAAAAGCCUCCACUGAAAGUACUGACAGCGACCAGCAAAAGAGAUCCUCUGUAUUACCUUCUCUUUAUUGGCUCCCUGUAGGAAUAUAAAUUUCUUCUCCUCACCUAUAAAACUCUUACCAACUAAGCUCUAUUUUACCUUAGAGACUUGAGAAUAACUUUUUAUCUCAAUAGAACAAUUCAUUCUCUGUUCCUCGAGUUUCCAAAAGCAGAAGGAGUGUUAAGUCCUUCAGCGAUCAGACUAUUCUGCUGUAGAACCUGCAUCCAGUUUGGGAGACUAGGUUUACAAAAAAAAAACAAACAAAAAAACAGUAAAUCAAGCUUAUUUAACCUUUCUGCAUUUAUCUCUGGGUCAUGAGCUAGAAUUCUACAAUUUCAUUUAGCAGAUGCUUUUAUCCAAAGCAACAUACAGCUGAGAGUAGAUACAACAAAAGCAAGGAUCUAGUCAGGAGAAAACAGCCUGGAUAAGAGCCAGAAAACCAGUUCAAGUGUGAUAAUAACAGAGCUGCACAUUCCAGCUCUGUGGUUUAUUAACUAUGUAAAGUGAACUUGGAUGACACACUGCUUUGAUUUGUCACUGUAUAGAUGAAACUGACUUGAACUGAAAGUGAAAUAGCCCAGAGAUGCGAGUUUAAUAGACACUAAAAUAAGCACAUACUGUAUAUGCUGGAAACAAAUGUUUUUGGAAAUGUGGAUUUUAAAUGUUGGUUUAUGGUGCGAUACCAUGAUGGAGGCUUCUGACGGCUCCCAAAUAGAUUCUACAACCAUCUUCAGCAAGAACAAGGUGACCCCUACAGAGCCCUGAUCAUCAUUUAGUCAGCCUGGGAUUACUUGAAGAAACAGGAAACUCUAAGACGCUACAGGAAACUCUUCAAGGUGCUUUGGAAAAGUUAGUAAGCUGAAAAACUGUGUAUGCUAUUUAAAGUUGAAAUGUGUUCACACCAAAUAUGAACUUAAUUUUUUUUUGCAUGUAACUUCAGCAUUUAUGGCAUUAUUUGCAAAAGUAUCCUCACCUUACUUUUAUUGCCAUAACCUUUUGCACAGUGCUGCAUGUUCACUCCUACACUUUCAUGAAAAAGUUCUUCCAUAAUUCACAUGGUAACACAGAUACCUAACCCCUCCCCAUCGCAAUCUAAAUGUGGAGUUCAGGCUGAUUGAAUGGGUUUCAGUUGUGUUUGAAUUGGUUUAUUUACUUUCUCUUAUUUUAUUUAUCCGUUUAUUUUUGUUUUCAGGGCAGGGGUAACUUCCCACGAUCCGGCUGGGAUGGAACCAGCAGGGCUGAGAUCAGCAUCUGUCAGAGGGGUGGAGAGAGGAGGACACGUGUCGCUAAUGGUCGUCUCCUUUCACCCCGGAGUGAAAGUAGCAGUUCCUCCUGAAGGUCAGAGAUCGCAGCAUCUGAGGGCCUCUUCAAAAGAAGACGUAGUUGAUGAAGGCGUUCUGGAGCAGGACCAGAAAGACCACGACCAAGCAGCCUUGAGAUCUUAGGCAGCGUCUCCCUCAGGUCCCUCUCUAUCUCCCCACACAUCCACCAACCACUGGAACACAUCUCCAAAGUUCUGCUGGACCAGCUCAGCUUCCCCUCAGAAGAAGUGCCGCCACCUGCCAGAUGAAGGAGCCUUUUGAGAGGCAACUGGCAUCGUGAUUGGACUGUACUGUGGUCUGUUCCAAUCCAGCUUCAGCUCCAGAGACGGAAGGCGGGACGAGUCAACGGAGGCCGGGUGGACGAAGGCAUGAAGCUGAGUACAAUCCAGAAAACAACAGAGGAGGAGUGCAGCAGCCCAGGGCCAGAACAACCAGAGUAGCAUGGUAUGUCUCUUAGAAAACAUCAUAGUAUAGCCUUUGGUAUGAAAAAACGCCAUCAUAUACAUCGUAUAUUGUACAAAUAACAACUCAAAGGAAAGAGACAUACAUUGUAGAAUUGUAGUAAUUGUGGGCUGACUGAUUUACUGAUUAUCAGUAUUUUAUUUUUUACUGAUUUACGGUAAUAAAUACAUUUAAAAUGACGC